rnacentral:lncRNA from 1 species
UGCAUUCUAACCAACAACAUUGGGCAGUGAGAGGGAGGGGCGACCAGCGAACACGCGGGAGGCGCAACCACGCAAGAGGUGACGGGGAGCCGGCGGAGAUUGCCAGUGGUGAGCGGGUGGUGGUGACCUCGAGCGGUCAGCACCAGUGGCGAGCAGGCAAUCACCGCGAUGGGCGAGUAGGUGCCACGAACUGCACCUCAAUUGGAAUACAUUAAAGAAUUGAUAUGAGUACGUGUGGCCGCCAACUGAAUUUUUGUGUUCUGUUUGCUUGUGUUUGCAGCCAGCCAAAUCAAUCAGCCAAGGGCCAUUAUGUGCGUGAGUGUGUUAGUAAUGGGUAUCUCUGAAGAUUAUUUCUCAACUCGGCAUGGGGGUAGAGACUAAAAAGACGAUGCCACCGUAGCAUGGCAGACCAUGUAAGUGCCACGAACAGCAUGAUAUUCUACUUUCAUUCCUUGGUUUGAAUAAUAAUUUGCUCUGCACGUGUAGGAACAUAGCGGUCGGGCAAACGAAACUUCGGCAUCUUGAUCGAUCAAGCGAAGCUUUUAAGCGCACAUACAAGUAACUUUGCAAUCAAGUGCUAUUUUUGUUUUUUCAGUUUCACUAAUUGCAUCUAAGGGCUACAAGAUCCCAUGCGCUAGCCAACGUCAAGGUUCAUAUUCAUUUUUAUUAUAUAGAUGGAACGAUAUUGUCUAUAUAUGGACACAAGACGGUACUCAUGUAAUAUUCUAUGAAGACAUGCUCGGACACUUGACAACAUGCCAUUGCUAAAUUAAUCUCUACCAUACUUUUCCAUAACAUCCACUGCGGUAAGGUUGUUCCAGUUUAAUUUAGCAACACUUUGCAUGGUCUAGAUAGCCAAGGUUCUAAAUAAGCUAUUGCUUAUUUUCAUGAUUUCAAAAUGCUUCCGUGAAGCUUUUGUUCCCAUCUAUAAGACCAAUCACCCUUUUCCCUUUAUUUUUUCCUUUACGAGGUCAGCUAUUUAAAUGAUGAUUCAUUAAACUCAAACAUGUAGUCAUGCGAGUGGCGAUGGUGGUGAACAUUAGUCAGAUUGGGGCAGAAGAUGCCGAGCACAAGCAUGCGGCUUGCCCUUGAUUGAGUUGUCAACACUGAUGAUUGGGGUGGUGUCUUCUGGUUGAACAAUGCCAACAUCGCACAGUGAGUCGUCUCAGUUUCAUAUGACCUGUUGGUGAUGUCUCUGAAUACAUGUUGAUUUGAUGAGGUAAUAUUUUUUUGGUCAACUAUAAAAUAUUUGCUUCUCUUUGCCACAAUAUAAAGUUAUUCUCGGUUAUUUAGAGAGCACCAUAGGAGUUCAAAAUUACAUUGUCUAGAGAUAAUUGUCAGAAUCAACCUCCUAACUUUGCUUGCUUUGCAUUUAAUAUUUGUUGAAGUACAAAAGAUGAUGACUAAAAUGAUGAUUCAAUCAAAAAAAUUGUGUCAUACGGAACUAAGAUGUCUACUGACCUAUCCGUGUGUAUAACUUCAGAUUAUAAAUCUCAGCACUCCAAUUUCAAAAGUUAAGCACUUGCCAAUUAUAUGCGAUGUUUCAAGCGGAAGUGAGAUGAGAGAGAAAGAGAAAGAUUGGUCUAAUUAUUACUCCUAAGUUCAUAAUGUUUUGUCAAUACCUUAAAUUUGAUGUGAAGCUUGUAUUAUUAUUGUCAGAUCUAAAUUAAAUCAAAGACUUCAACACGGGAUGUUGCCUCUUUCACCUUAUUGUCAUUCUUAACGAUCUGUUGUGAGUAAAUCAUAGUGCAGUUGCGUCUUAUAUUUUGUUUGGGCCUGUAGGUGUGUGCCUCCUUGCUUUUCCAUUUCUUAUAAGUUGUCGUCGUUUUGUUGCUUAAUUUUGAAGUUUGGAUUUUGUCUUCAACCCGCAGGUCCAGUUAGGUGUGAGCAAGAACACAACAGGUGGAAAGGUUUUCCUUCGAUCUUCAACUCCCAGCCGCUCUAAUAUUUCCAUGUGGAAUGUUCAGCAAAAUGCCUUACAACGAAUACCCUAGAGAAAUUGUUGUUGUUGCGUUUUGACUUUUGAGUGAUACCUCUAGCUGUGGUAGAAAUGUAUUUAGAAUACAUUGACUGGUAUAAAUGUAUUUAGAAUACAUUGAAGUGCAAAUCCAUGUCAUGGUCAUGCUAUGGGAGGAGAAAUUGGGAAAAUAUCCCAUAUGAGCUUUAUUUGUACACAUCUUUUUUUUUCUAUGCUCUUGAUAGUAGGUUGUGUCUGCUUCAUAAAUGGGUUCAAUUUGGCUAUUUUUUGAUCUUAUAAGAUAUUUCGCACAACACAAAUUAAUUAUUGACAGUCUUAGUAAAUUGUGCCUGAUC